rnacentral:rRNA from 1 species
AGAUUGAACGCUGGCGGCAUGCUUUACACAUGCAAGUCGAGCGGCAGCGCGGGGAGGGGCAACUCUCUCUGGCGGCGAGCGGCGAACGGGUGAGUAAUACAUCGGAACGUGUCCAGUAGUGGGGGAUAACCAGUCGAAAGAUUGGCUAAUACCGCAUACGAUCUACGGAUGAAAGCGGGGGACCGCAAGGCCUCGCGCUAUUGGAGCGGCCGAUGUCCGAUUAGCUAGUUGGCGGGUAAUGGCCCACCAAGGCGACGAUCGGUAGCUGGUCUGAGAGGAUGAUCAGCCACACUGGAACUGAGACACGGUCCAGACUCCUACGGGAGCAGCAGUGGGAAUUUUGGACAAGUGGGCGCAAGCCUGAUCCAGCCAGUGCCGCGUGAGUAGAACGAAGGCCUUCGGUUGUAAAGUCUUCGUUUCGGACGGGUACCGAAACGGUCCGUACGAACAACACCGAACGACUAAGUCGAACGUAC